rnacentral:rRNA from 1 species
AUACAUGAGCAAAAUCUCAACUUUUUUAGAAGAGAUGCAUUUAUUAGAUAAAAAACCAAUACAUGCCUUUAAAGUAUGGAAUUUGGUGAUUUACAAUAACUUAGCAAAUCGCAUAGUGAAAACAGGCGAUAAAUCAUUCAAGUCUCUGACCUAUCAGCUUUCGACGGUAUGGUAUUGGCUUACCGUGGCAGUGACGGUUAACGGGGGAUUAGGGUUCGAUUCCGGAGAGGGAGCCUGAGAAACGGCUACCACAUCUAAGGAAGGCAGCAGGCGCGCAAAUUACCCAAUUCUAACAGCAUAAGAGAGGUAGUGACAAGAAAUAACAAUACAAGGCAGUUAAAAUGCUUUGUAAUUGGAAUGAUAGAAAUUUAAACACUUUUUAAAGUAUCAAUUGGAGGGCAAGUCUGGUGCCAGCAGCCGCGGUAAUUCCAGCUCCAAUAGCGUAUAUUAAAAUUGUUGCAGUUAAAAAGCUCGUAGUUGAAUUUCUGCUAAAAAUAACCGGUCUGCUUUUAAUAAGGGUGGUAUCUUGGUGUGUUUUUAGCAAUAAUGUCCUUUGAAAUGUUUUUUACUUCAUUGUAAUAAAUUAUUUUCAGGAUUUUUACUUUGAGAAAAUUAGAGUGUUUCUAGCAGGCUAACGCUUUGAAUACUGCAGCAUGGAAUAAUAAAAUAGGAUUUUGGUUCUACAUUAUUGGUUUUAAGA